rnacentral:rRNA from 1 species
GAUGAACGCUGACAGAAUGCUUAACACAUGCAAGUCAAUUUGAACUUCGGUUUGGGUGGCGGACGGGUGAGUAACGCGUAAAGAACUUGCCUCACAGAUAGGGACAACAUUUGGAAACGAAUGCUAAUACCUGAUAUUAUGAUUAUAUGGCAUCGUAUAAUUAUGAAAGCUAUAUGCGCUGUGAGAGAGCUUUGCGUCCCAUUAGCUAGUUGGAGAGGUAACGGCUCACCAAGGCGAUGAUGGGUAGCCGGCCUGAGAGGGUGAUCGGCCACAAGGGGACUGAGACACGGCCCUUACUCCUACGGGAGGCAGCAGUGGGGAAUAUUGGACAAUGGACCAAGAGUCUGAUCCAGCAAUUCUGUGUGCACGAUGAAGUUUUUCGGAAUGUAAAGUGCUUUCAGUUGGGAAGAAAAAAAUGACGGUACCAACAGAAGAAGUGACGGCUAAAUACGUG